CAGUAGCCACGGGAAUACGUAGGUGGCAAGCGUUGUCCGGAAUUAUUGGGCGUAAAGGGAGCGUAGGCGGCGUGGUAAGUCAGAUGUGAAAUCCCGGGGCUCAACCCCGGAACUGCAUCCGAUACUGCCGUGCUAGAGGAUUGGAGAGGUAGCUGGAAUUCUUGGUGUAGCAGUGAAAUGCGUGGAGAUCAAGAGGAACACUCGUGGCGAAAGCGAGCUACUGGACAAUAUCUGACGCUGAGGCUCGAAGGCCAGGGUAGCGAAAGGGAUUAGAUACCCCGGUAGUCCCUGUCUCUUAUAC
rnacentral:rRNA from 1 species